rnacentral:misc_RNA from 1 species
GUAGGUGAACCUGCGGAGGGAUCAUUACCGAGCGAGGGCGCUCCGGCGCCCGACCUCCCAACCCUUUCGUCGUACCGUCCCCGUUGCUUCGGGGGGCGACCCGGCCCUCGCGUCGGCGCCCCUCGGAGGGCCACUUCAAACACCGCAUCACUGCGUCGGAGUAUAGAAGCGAAAUGAAUCAAAACUUUCAACAACGGAUCUCUUGGUUCUG